UACGGAGGGUGCAAGCGUUGCUCGGAAUUAUUGGGCGUAAAGCGCGCGCAGGUGGUAGGGUAAGUCAGUUGUGAAAUUCCUGGGCUUAACUUGGGGACUGCAAUUGAUACUGCCCUGCUCGAGUACGGAAGAGGGGAGCGGAAUUCCCAGUGUAGAGGUGAAAUUCGUAGAUAUUGGGAGGAACACCGGAGGCGAAGGCGGCUCCCUGGUCCGAUACUGACACUCAAGUGCGAAAGCGUGGGGAGCAAACAGG
rnacentral:rRNA from 1 species